AGUGAACGCUGGCGGUAGGCCUAACACAUGCAAGUCGAACGGCAGCACAGUAAGAGCUUGCUCUUACGGGUGGCGAGUGGCGGACGGGUGAGGAAUACAUCGGAAUCUACUUUUUCGUGGGGGAUAACGUAGGGAAACUUACGCUAAUACCGCAUACGACCUACGGGUGAAAGCAGGGGAUCUUCGGACCUUGCGCGAUUGAAUGAGCCGAUGUCGGAUUAGCUAGUUGGCGGGGUAAAGGCCCACCAAGGCGACGAUCCGUAGCUGGUCUGAGAGGAUGAUCAGCCACACGGGAACUGAGACACGGUCCAGACUCCUACGGGAGGCAGCAGUGGGGAAUAUUGGACAAUGGGCGCGAGCCUGAUCCAGCCAUACCGCGUGGGUGAAGAAGGCCUUCGGGUUGUAAAGCCCUUUUGUUGGGAAAGAAAAGCAGCAGGUUAAUACCCCGCUGUUCUGACGGUACCCAAAGAAUAAGCACCGGCUAACUUCGUG
rnacentral:rRNA from 1 species